rnacentral:tmRNA from 1 species
GGGGGUGAAAUUGGUUUCGACGGGGGUCUGGAACUUUUUGUAGCCGGGGAUGUUGUGACACGUUCAUCUAAAAAGCGGUCAAAAAAACAAAUGCAAACGAUAAUUACGCUUACGCUGCCUAAGCUAUAAGGUAGUAGCUCCUGAUCGAUCGACCUGCAGAUCGGACUUGAGCUUCAUUUAAAAGCAGGAAACGACACAUGGCUUGCCUGGUCCAUGUGGUCGUAUUACAGGCUCGCUCGGGUCUCCGCUAGUUGUUGGGGGGCGGCAAGGGUUAAACUUUAAUCAACAACUAUCCCAGUAGAAGCAGAACGGAAAAGGCUUUCGGACGUGGGUUCGACUCCCACCACCUCCACCA